rnacentral:rRNA from 1 species
UACGAAGGGGGCUAGCGUUGCUCGGAAUGACUGGGCGUAAAGGGCGCGUAGGCGGUUUGGACAGUCAGAUGUGAAAUUCCUGGGCUCAACCUGGGGGCUGCAUUUGAUACGUGCGGACUAGAGUGGGGAAGAGGGUCGUGGAAUUCCCAGUGUAGAGGUGAAAUUCGUAGAUAUUGGGAAGAACACCGGUGGCGAAGGCGGCGACCUGGUCCUUGACUGACGCUGAGGCGCGAAAGCGUGGGGAGCAAACAGG